CCUGAUUUCUCCAUCAUACGGAACACUUGCUUAUGCUUCAAGUAAAUCAGUCAAAAACGAGAGACUGUGACAGAUACAUGAGUACCACAGACUUCCGAGCUGCUCCAGGCUCCUGUGAUGAGUCCCAUCCCAUCUUUAGAACUUCAAGAGAGCAACUGGGUGACUCUGGGGUAUCAGAUGAAGCUGAACCCCUAGAGGUUGUAAUGAGCCAUAUUGGAUUUGGGCCUGGCCACUUUGUGACUGCAUAGCUCAAGGUGGCUACGUGACUCUGGGCUGCAUGGCCACAGAGGUUCAACCUUGAAAUGACUGCCAUACAGACAUGAGAUUGUUGAACUAAAGCCUCUCCCAGGAAGACCCUGGGAGCAAUGACAGGAUGUUUCAGCCUGAGCAAAACACCGGAUGUCCCUGAGCAGAUUCCUGAGAAGGGUUCAACCUUUUCAAAGAACAUAUCCCCGGAAGACUGUUGCCUCUUUGUUAUAGGAGGAUAUCUUGCAGUGUAGUGAUUCACCUUAUAUCCUGGGCACUUCCCAAACUCCCCCACCCUAAGCUUCAGUUCCCGCUUCUAUUCCUGCCUCAGAGCUUUAAAUGCU
rnacentral:lncRNA from 1 species